UACAGAGGGGGCAAGCGUUGUUCGGAAUUACUGGGCGUAAAGGGCGCGUAGGCGGCCUGCUAAGUCGAACGUGAAAUCCCUGGGCUCAACCCAGGAACUGCGUCCGAUACUGGCGGGCUUGAGACCGGGAGAGGAGGGUGGAAUACCCAGUGUAGAGGUGAAAUUCGUAGAUAUUGGGUGGAACACCGGUGGCGAAAGCGGCUCUCUGGCCCGGAUCUGACGCUGAGGCGCGAAAGCGUGGGGAGCAAACAGG
rnacentral:rRNA from 1 species